CUCAGCCUGGCUCCUAGUACACAGGUAACUGAAAUAUUUGCCCUUGGGAGAGAAAGCGCAGAAUGUUCUCUUAAAAUGCUCCAACUGGUGAAAUAAGAGAUUUUAGAUAAACAGCUUUUGAGGGACCCCAUUUCCUGAGCUAUGCUUUGAUCACAUGACAACAGCGCCAGCGAAAACACUUUGUUAUCCUUUCAAGGGAGAUGUUCGAGAAAGAACUUCUGCCUGGGUCAUGGAGCUCAUGGCAGCUGGAAUCUGGCGGACCAGCCCAGGAAACUGGCUGCUGAGCACCCUGGGGCAUCUCCAAUAACCUGGAUCCAGUCCUGCUGAGCAAAAAAGGAACAUGUUCAGAUGUAAGGUUAGACCCACCAAGGAUCAAAGCAUUAUGAUGAAUAAAGGGCCCGGGUGAUAGGAUACCACCUGCGGUCAGUGCACACGAGAGGCACUAAAGUGAGGUGGCAGCCCAAACUCGGAAGAGUUUGACCAGCCCAAACCCUGAGGGAAUUACUCAUGCCUCAUCUAUGGUGCCUCUGUGAGAUCCAUGAGGCCUGCGGCCACUUUUCUCUAACUUUUCAUUCUGUCUUCGGUGCCUCGCACAUUUCUUGGCAGGCAUAUUUGUUGAUUACAUGAAAAAUGGCUAAAUGAAUAAAUGACUGCUUCUACUGCUUCUGACAAAAAAAACAGAAAAUAUUUAAUACUCUGAGAUCAAGAAAGAAUGAAUGAAUGACUGCAUUUUAUAAAGAGAAAGAAAAUAUUAAAGCUUCAUGAUCAAGAUGGAGUUGGAAAAUGUUUUUAGAGCACUUCAGUAAAGAAAUGUUUCCUAACAUCAGCACACUGUUGUUUUGGUUUACAAAGAGCGUUAGCAUUUAACGUAUGAUUUGCUCAUUAUAAUCUUAGGGGUCAGGCAAGCCAGACAUGCUUUCCUUUAUUCACUCAAUCAAUACAUAAGUUCCUGUUGUUGCCAAUCAGGUUGUUAGCAAUUUGGCAUACAGAACUGAUUAAGAUAUAAUCUACUUCCCUGCCCUCAGAAGCUCGGUCAAGUAGGGGAUACACACACACACACACACACACACACACACACACACACACAUAUAUAACUACAAUAAAAUAUUCAUUUAGACAAAUAAUUAUGAUAAAAUGGUGAGCAUUAAUGGAAGGACUAAGAAAGGAUAUAUAAGUCAUCGAUUAUUAAUAAUUUGCCUAUAGGAGCUGGAAAAGUUUCAUGAAAGUGAUGGCAAGUUAAAGGUAGAAAAGAAAUUUGGCAAAUAUCCAGAGGUGAGGGAAGGCUUUCCAGAGAAAGAAUAAAUACCAGCCAUUGUUUGAUACAAUAGAACAGAAAAUACUUGUUGAACAGUGGCAGAAUUUGAGUCUAGAAAAGAAGUUUGAGGCCAAUCAUCAAGGGUUUGGAAAUAUCAAGCCUGAAGCUUGUCUUGCAGACCAUGAGAGUGAUGUAAAAAUGUUAACGGGAAGGUCGGUAUAAGGUGUUCAGAUUUGCAUUUUAUUUUCCUGAUUUUGCAGACGGGGAAUCUUAGCAGUAACAGUUAAAUGACUUUUUCUGGGUCACAGGGAGAGUAAUAGAAGAGCCACAUUUUUGCUGGGCUGGAAAUAAAAUGCCAAGUAUAGACUUCCUGCUUGUUGCUUAAUCAGUAGAGACAACUUUUGCCAUGUGGAAAAAGAGUUCAUUAUAAUCAGACUGGAAAUUCAUGUACCUGAAAAUCUUUAGAAGGGAAAACGUAGGGGAAGGAACAAGAUGGAAUUGCAGAUACAAAACAAUUCUUAUCAGUCUGAGUCUGUUUUACAUUUUGUUCCAGAUUCUGCAAAUUAGCCCUGACACAAUGAAUCUUUGUAAAUUAAUGAGGGUAACAGCGGGAAAGAAUCAAUCAGCCACUCUUGUUCCAAAACCCUCCUUGGUAAUAACCUGAUAUGAACCUUGGAGUCAUGACCCCAGACUAAUAGCUUGCUUUGUACCCUUUGAACAAAACAAUUAAAUAAUCACAUUCCUCUUGGUCCAACUUCCUGAAUGUAUUAAUUAGAUUAAAACACAACUUGUCAGGGUCCUUCGAGAGGAAGGGGUUUGCUGGAUUUGUUUUCUCUCGCCCUCCAGCUUCCAAAGGCAUGUCCUGCUUUCAUGCAGGGGGAGCUUGUUACCUGCCUAGGCAAGCAACUUUGACACACACCUGGUCUCAUUCCUUCUAGACCUGCCCUCACAUGCAUCCUCUCACCUGGACUCCACCACCCAGGGCAUUUUUCUUCCUCUGCAGGAGAAACAUCCACCUCUUGGUUCCAAUUGUGUUACAAAUCCUCUCUUAAAAUAUAGAAGCCAGUUGAUAACUCUUCUUGGCUCAAUUUCAGCAUCUCACUCAUCCAUCUAUCCAUUCAUCCACCCAAUCUUUAGGAGAGGUGGGCUCAAAUCCUGGUUCUGCCAUUUCCUAUCUCUAUGAUCCUAAGCAAAUGGCUUAAACUCUUUUGUGCCUCAAUUCCCUGGCCUGUAAAAUGGGGAUGGCAACAGGACAUAUGUUUUGUGGCUUUUAUGAGGAUUAAAUGGGUUUAUUUGGUUUGAAGUGAUUCAAAUAGUGCCUGGCUCACUUAAAGAGCUACUUCUUGGUACUAAGGUUUUUGGGAUUCAAGUAUGAAAAUGGCACUAUCUCUGCUACAGAGCACUAAAACACAAAACAAAUCCAACCAUACAUCAGGUUAAAUGCAGUGGUACACGCAUGUGGCAUCCUGAGGGCACAGAGCUACCAGGAUGACAGCAGCCAGACCCAGCGGCUCCAGGCCCAGGCUUCCUCAUGUGCUUCUGCUCUUCUUGCAAUUGUCUUCCCAGAUACCCGAAAACCUUGUUCCCUCACUUCAGUCAGGAGAUAGGCCUUUUCUGAAGCUUCAACCUAAAAUAGCAGCACACACUGCACUGCAUCAUCCUCGGUUCUCUUUCCCUGAGCUAUUUGGCUUCAUAACUGUGUGCCAAGCCUGUAUAUCAAACCUAGGUGCCCAACACUUAUGUAUAGAGCCGGAGUGUGUAUAUCAAGCCUAUAUACCCAAAGCUUAUGUGUAUAGCCUGUGUAUCCAACACCUAUGUCUCCCCUCGGCCUAUGGGGUGGAGUGUAUGGAACAUGGCUGUGCUGUGGCCAAGAGGGCAUAGGCUGAGGUAAACAUCCUGCGUGA
rnacentral:lncRNA from 10 species